AUUGAACGCUAACGGCAUGCUUAACACAUGCAAGUCGAGCGGCAGCACAGCAGUAGCAAUACUGUGGGUGGCGAGUGGCGGACGGGUGAGUAAUGUAUAGGAAUCUGCCUUGUAGUGGGGGAUAACCUGGGGAAACUCGGGCUAAUACCGCGUAAUCUUUACGAAGCAAGGCGGGGGAUCGUAAGACCUUGCGCUAUAAGAUGAGCCUAUAUUGGAUUAGCUAGUUGGUGGGGUAAAGGCCUACCAAGGCGACGAUCCAUAGCUGGUCUGAGAGGAUGAUCAGCCACACUGGGACUGAGACACGGCCCAGACUCCUACGGAAGGCAGCAGUGGGGAAUAUUGGACAAUGGGGGAAACCCUGAUCCAGCAAUGCCGUGUGUGUGAAGAAGGCCUUCGGGUUGUAAAGCACUUUUAGUGGGAAAGAAAAGCUCAAAGCUAAUAACUUUGAGCCUUGACGUUACCCACAGAAAAAGCACUGGCUAACUCUGUGCCAGCCGCCGCGGUAA
rnacentral:rRNA from 1 species